rnacentral:rRNA from 1 species
UACAUAGGGGGCUAGCGUUAUCCGGAAUUACUAGGCGUAAAGGGCAGGCAGGCGGAUCCAUAAGUUUAUCGUUUAAGGCGUCGGCUUAACCGGCGUAGGGCGGUAGAUACUGUGGAUCUGGAAUGCGGUUGGGGAAGACAGAAUUCCUGGUGUAGCGGUGGAAUGCGCAGAGAUCAGGAGGAAUACCGAAGGCGAAGGCAGUCUUCCAAGCCGUUAUUGACGCUCAACUGCGAAGGUGUGGGUAUCAAACAGGAUUAGAUACCCGUGUAGUCCCU